AUCAGUGGCACGUGCAGCAUAGAGGACUGGCCAGUUCCCUCAGUGCCUUGCCCUGGGUCCAUUCAUGCAAGUGGCCCUUGAAAUGACUGUUAUGGUUCAGAGGAUUCAGUAGAGAGUGCAGACCAGGAAUUUAAAUGAGAAAAAAUGUGUGGUUUUUUAGAAGAUUUAAAAAGUCUGACACUUGAGAUUUGAAGCUCGUCUCUGUUGUUAGGGGAUGGGACACUGCGAGUGUGGGAUGUGAAGGCGGGAUCAUGCAGGCUAGCCGUCCCAGUGCACAGGGCUGAAAUCCUCAGCUGUGAUUGGUGCAAAUAUGACCAGUUCUACCCAUUUUAUAAGACCAUCUUAGCAUCCUGCUCAUAUGAUUUCACAGUCAGGUUGUGGACUGCUCUUGGGAUGAGACUGUAAAAGUCUUCAUCCCUUCAUGCCUGGCUGCCCUACAGGAGGUCAGUGCACCAUGAGAAAAUGUUGCCGCAAGGCACAGGGGAGCCACGGAUCUGUUUCAAUCACAGAGUUUGCCAAGAUUUCACUGUGGUUUUCGUAAUGUCACUAUUAAAGGAGAACCCGUGGGAUGGAUCAGGAGCACCGUGCGGAUGAGAGGGAAUCUCAUGCUGUCACUGAAUGUAAAAACUGAGUGUGGUGUUAUUAUAAUGUUUCUUAAGUGUAAAAUCAAACUAAAAGUGAGUUUACCUUAAGCAUUGAGUGCCUUUUUGUUGUC